GGCGUAUCAAACAAGCUUGUGCGUGCCUGCUAAGUCACUUCAGUCGUGGCCCGCCAGGUUCCUCUGUGCAUGGGAUUUCCCAGGCAAGAAUACUGGAGUGGUUGCCAUUUCCUUCUCCAGGGGAUCUUCCCAACCCAGGGAUUGAACCCACAUCUCUUAUGUCUCCUGCAUUGGCAAGGAGGUUCUUUAUGCCACUAGGUCCACCUGGGAAGCCCACUAAAUGAGCUAAGACUGCGGCAAAUUAACCCAGGAAAGCACACGCAUUCCCUAAUUGGAGAGGCCUUCCGCAAACACCCUCAGAGGCCCAGGCGCAAGCUUCCGCCGCCAGUCUGUCCGCUCUCAGGCCGGGGUAGGGGGACACGCGCGAGGUUCGGCUGUGUCCACGGUCCAGCCACUGCACAAGCCGGCCGUCUCCCAGAGUUCUGAGUAAUCGCCGGAAGCCCGGCCAGAAUCAAAGCGGACGCGAAGCAUCCACCCAGCUGGAAGAGCCGCCGCCGCCGGGGAAGCAGGAAUCUCCCAGAUACCCAGUGUGGGGGCGCUCCCGAGCCCUCGGGGUCCCCCGGCGGCCUCCUGGAGCCUGGAGCUCAGGCGGAGAGAUGCAGGGACGGCGGGAGGCCGGAGGCAGCCGUGGUCAGGGAAGCGAGGGGACCAGAAGGACCACCGGAGGUGUCCGGGCGGAAGGGCCGCGGGGCUGGGGUCGCCCCGGUCCCCGCCGCACCCUGGGGACCCCGGCCCGCUUGGUUUGGGCCUCAAAGACCUCCACUGAUGAAUGCUCUCUGUGAAGCAAACUGCAUUUUUGCCUUCAACUUAUUAAAAAUGUUGGCUGAAGAGGACCACUCGUGACACGUGUUCUUCUCUCUGCUGAGCCUCUCCUUUGUCCUGACCAUGGUCUUAAUGGGGGCUGAGGGGAACACGGUGGCCCAGAUGUCCCAGAGCACCAAAGUUGUCUGGCCAUCUGGUCGACCUUUCGGCGGUGCUUGCCUGACUACAACCAAACAUGAACACAAAUCUGGAUCGCAGGGCAGAGAAGGCAGAGCACCACCACUCCGCACUCGUUUCUCUUACCUAAGUGUUCUCCCGUCCGCGCGCGUUCAGACGCCCUUCCAGGACUACACACUGCACCAGGCUCGCGUCUCCUUGGUACCCUCAGCGAACGGCCCGGGCCGCUUUCUGGGUCUCAAACAUUUGGCGCCUCUGACCACCGAUCCCGUGCAGGACUAAAGCCGCGCAUUGGGCCACCUCCUUGCUCGCCCACCGCGUUCCCUGUUGUCACCCGUGGCGAGGGACUCGUGUGUGGCUCACACAACUUUCGAGCCCGUAAGGGGAACAGAAGAGACUACAGGCGGCCCCCGCGAUGACGCAGCACGGCUUCCGACGAACGCAGAGCUUGAUACGACAGCGGCCGUCGGAGAGCAGCUCCCCCGCCGCCCAGCCCUGGUGCGGACCUGGGCCCCCAGGCGAUCAGGACGUGGGGUUGGGAGAGCCUAGCCUGGGGAUCGCGGUGCCGCUGGGAGGGCCGGGCGCGCAGCCCAGCGCCGCCUUGUUCCGCGUGUCCGGCCACGCUCCACUCCGGGAAGACGCCCGGGAUCCAGGGACGGCCGGCGUGAACCCUGCGCCGUCCGCCGACGGAGACACGGCUACUCCCAGCCGAGGCGGGAAAACAAAAAAUACUGAUCCAGGACACCGCGCGGGGCACUUUACUCUCCUGGCUGCGAGCCGUACCCCAUGCAGCCCCGCGGGCGGAGGAAACGUCCGGAUCGCCGACUAGCUUCUAAAAACACGGCCCGUGCUCGCCACGCAAGCCUGACCGUUCGAGGGAGCAGGACGCGUCCAGGCCCGGAGACGGGGCCCAGGCGCGCCAGCCAACGAGCCCUGCGAGCCCAUACUCGUCCGGUCUGGCCAAGCACCAGAGCCUGGAGAGUGGGGACCCCGGAGGGAGACGAAGGCCCCUAACGGUGACCCAGGAGUUUGGCCGACGAGCCACAGGCACUCCGGCGCCGCAGACCCUUUCUCUGCUCGCUCCGAGGCCCCGCGGAUGUAAGGCCGCGAGGAGAUGCUGGUCGACCAGAGCGAGCGACAACCCGCCCUCAAAGGCCACAGCGCCGAACGCCCCAACGCCCGAGCUCGCCCGGGGCCUCUGCCUCGGAGGGGGCUCCCCGCUCGGGACAGCGCGACGCGGCUUCGCGGAGCGGCCCAGGCGGCAGACGAGGGCGGGCGGAGAGCGGAAGGCUGCGGCGGAGAGGCCCUCCCCGCGAGACUGCAGGGCCGCAGGCCAACCUGAGCAAGGGAGAUUCUGCAGGGGGCUGGGCUGUGUGAACUGUGAGCUGGAACAGUGAAAGUAAAACAGAAAGCAAGCAAGCACGGAAGACAUCUUAUUCUGUCAUUUCAGAGUUGAGAUGUUACUCAAGUAUAAAAAUACAAGGCUCAGAAGCCAUAAAGGAAACGACUGAAAACUUGACUAUGUAAUUGGUCUUUUAGUCUUUACCAAGCAAAGGCAGGUGACAAGAAACGGGUGUGUGAGAACGUUUGUGCGACUACAUAUAUAUUAAGAACGUUGGUAUCAGCAUUACAUAAUAACAGAAUGUAGAAAACACGGCAAGGGACCAGUUAAGUAAAUUUUCAGUGCAUUCACAUAACACAAGACUAUCACUUUGCUUUUUGGUUUAUUGCUGUUGUUUAAAUGAGUUAGAUCCAUAGGUAUUGACUUGGAAAAAUGUCGAUGGCAAACUGUCAAAUGAAAACAAAGUUUUAGCACUUACUACUGGAAGUGCUUUUUAAAAAAUGAAGCGGAAAAAUGAAGAGUUAGAAUAGCUAAAGCGGUUUUAAAGAGCAAGAAUCAAGUCUGCCCUAUAGCCUGGUGUCUGGACAGAAAGACGUGCCAGAAACAAAGAUGGGCCACACUACGUGCUUCUCUGCUCCCUCCUACUAUAGUCUUGGGAAGGCAGCUGGCAUCUCAGCCCCUGCACCUCUCUGCUCCACUAACACUCAGAGCCCCUGCAGGCAAUCAGAACUCUGACUCUGCAGGCCUGGGGUCCCUAUGUCUACAGUCUCUUCCUUCAUGUCAGGAGCCUCGAGCAAUUCACUUGGUUUGCCCAAUCAUCCAUGCCCAGAGCUGCUGGCUCUAACAUACACCUGUGCAGUCCUUCUCUCCAUAAGCUUUGAGCUGAUAUCCCAAGGUAAGACCAUUCCCCUCACAAAACAGGUAUGAACCACGGGAACAACUGGAAGUUUGCACCUGGACCCAUUAUACAAACUCUGUGUGCACACUCUACUCCCAAAGACACUACCCUUUUCACUGUGCUGUUUGCAUGGUAUGGCCAUUGCUUACUAGAAGCAUCCAGACUCACUUAUGUGGCAGGAAGAAAUACUAAGUACACACACACGCAUGCACACACACCCAUGUACAAACACAGAGGCACACACACACCCCAGGAGCUUAUCUGGACUCCUGCUAGGGCUGGCAAUGGUGGGAGCAGAAAAGACAUCAUUGUUGCUGCUUCUCGGGUCCUCUGCGCUGGCAGACCCUGGUUGCUUUGCUGACUUCACUGUGGAGAGUGAGGGCUUGGAGCGCCCUAGUCUGCAGUUUGCUGUCCAGCGCCCUGUGCUUUAUUCAGUCCACUCUACCCUCUCUCCUCAAUGCACAGUCACCAUUAAAAAUAAGAAUGGACACACAUUGAUUUCAAUUUUCAAACUUGAACAAAGUUUAAGAACAGAGAGAAAUUGGGUUAUUGUGAAGAAGGUAGUGAGGAAAUUUUAUUUAUCUUUUUUGCAGCUACCAAAAUGUUCAAAUAUAGUCUAUAAAAGCUUAAUAUUUUUAAAACUAGGAAAAGUAAAUAAUCCCUCAUUACUCCUUCUUGCCCAUCACCAUCUCUGCCCCAGCUUGUGUCACAGUGGGCUCACCUGACGACAUGCCUGUUCUCCUGGUUUGGAGACUUCUUUCACACUCAUCACUAUCCUCUAUGCUCACUACACACCUGAGGCCACUGUAGCCAUCCACAUGGUAAAUCAGGGGAUUUUUCUCUAGUGAGCCUGAGGGUUUGUUUUUUUUCUUCUAAUAGAAACCUCUCCCAUCUGUCCUCUAAAGUCACAACCUUUAUGGAUCCUGUAACAAGUGGGUGUGAAUGACAGAAAGAGGCUGUUUCCAUAUCAGUCUCUGAGCUGCCAUAUGCCUAACAGAGUGGUGGAUGUUACUGGCAUUAAUAUUUCCUGGGUGGUGUUAGAAGAUCCAGGCUGAAAGGAGAAACCAGACAAUUUGGCAAGACACAGAUCAAACCAGGAGCCAGAGCAAGUCCCUCUCAUUGUUUCAAGGUCAAGAACUCAGCCACCACUGUCCUUCUCUGCAUCCUCAUGCAGGACGGUUGAAACUGACCAGAUAAAGCUGAGGAGAUGGAAAGAAGUCAUGAGAUCCAAGCCUCUAAAGCCCUGCUAGAUACUCCAGGCAUAAGUCCCCAACCACUCACCUGGGUGUGACCCCUCCUACCAAACCACAGGCAUGCAGAGAUAUGGGGAACCCUCCUUUCUGGGGUCAAAGCAGUAUGGGCUACUCGCCACAUAAACAACGUAGUAAUAUUUCCAUUUUACGC
ensembl:lncRNA